rnacentral:lncRNA from 1 species
CUCAGUUGACAAUUUCCCAUUUAUCCUGUCUAUAGCUUGCUCCUACAUAUAUGCUCCUUGUCUCUCCCACUUGAUUAUAAGUUCCUUGAGGGCAAAGCCUACCUUUCGCCCCUUUACAUAUACCCAGAGCUUAACACGGUGCCUGGCACACAGCAGGCGUUUAAUAAAUAUCGAUGGUGUCUCUGUUAUUUCCUAUUUCUCCUGUCUAUAGCUUGUUCCUGCAUAUGUUUGCUUGUCUCCCCCAUUGCACUGUAAGCUCCUCGAGGGCAGGGGCUGCCUUUUGCCUCUUUUUGUCUCCCCAGCGCUUAGCACAGACCCUGGGCACACAAUAGGCGCUUAAUAAAUGCGUGACGCCUUGACCAGAUAGGUUGACGGACACCCAAACAGACUCCCCGGAGCCCAGAACCCAGGCUCCCGCUGCUGCAGACCGGAGGAAAGUCCGGUUGUCGGCGGUACGGGUAUCCCGCCCCACCUUUCCCAGGCUCCGCUUGCCACCGACCAGCCCUCCCGACACAACCCCAAUCACAGCAGCGCGCGCGCGGCACUCCCGGCGUGGGCUUUACCUCCAGAUCGAGUGGGGUCCAGAUUCCUGGGAGCGGAGUCCGCCGCACAGCUGCGCCUGCGCACACGCCAGCGGUCGAACUACCCGCAGCCUUCUUCGGGCCUCUUCCGCUUCCUCCGUCCAGACUUCAUUUCCCAAAGGCCUCGGGGGCGCUCCGUUCCCGGGCAGGCUUGGAGAUAGAUGCUGGGAAACGGAAUCUGAGCUUGUCCCUACGGAUUCUGGGAAAUACAGUCCCCGCUGGACCACUUCUUGGCAGAGGUGACGUGCUGAAGCAUGAUCAAAGAAUGUUAAUUGAGACGAGAACAAGAGCAAAUUGCCACCCAAUGAGAUGCCAUAUUGGGGCAAGGAAAGACCACCAUACUAAUUCAGGAUGUCAACCUGAUAAAAGGCAUCAUGUGCAGAGACUAUGAAAGUCAGACACAGCUUUAAAGGAAUACUACUUGGUGGGUAACUCAUUCCUCUGUGGUCUCCACUAACUCUUAGAUUUCUUUCACCAUCAUACCCCAGCAGCUUUCUCACCCUGGAAGAUGCCUCUACCACCAAGUCCCAAAAGCCUUCUUAUACAAGAAGUUCCCUCUGCAGGGAGAUCCCUGUGGUACCUUCCUCCGGUUAGUCAGUUUUCCUAAGAACAUUUAUUUUAAGGAAGCAUCCAGGCCAGCC